rnacentral:lncRNA from 1 species
GACCUCUGUAUGUGCAAAAUUGAGUGUUUAGUUUUGGUCACUGAAUUUAAGUCAAUGUCUUCGAUUGCUGAUUCAACUUAGGAUCAUAUCUUAGAUUGCUCGAGUUUUGGUGAACUUUGGAAUAUGCUGUACAUUAUUCAUUAGCAUAACUAUUGAACUUUGAAAAAUAUCGAGUUUAAGUAAUGUACAAUAUUUUUUAAAGUUCAUUGAGUAAUUUACAACAUUUUUCAAAGUUGAGCGGCCAAAAUUCGAUAUUUUAAAUUUCAGUGAGCAAUCGAAGACAUGGACCUAAGUUCAAUGGCCAUUGGAACAAUUCACUUGCAAUUAUCUAU